rnacentral:rRNA from 1 species
AGAACGAACGCUGGCGGCAUGCCUAACACAUGCAAGUCGAACGCUUUUGGGGCUUCGGUCCCAAAGGAGUGGCGCACGGGUGAGUAGCGCGUGGGAACCUGCCCUGUUGUGGGGGAUAACCGAGGGAAACUUCGGCUAAUACCGCAUACGCCCGGGGGAAACUCCGGGGAAAGAUUUAUCGCAGCAGGAGGGGCCCGCGUCGGAUUAGGUAGUUGGUGGGGUAACGGCCCACCAAGCCUGUGAUCCGUAGCUGGUCUGAGAGGAUGAUCAGCCACACUGGGACUGAGACACGGCCCAGACUCCUACGGGAGGCAGCAGUGGGGAAUAUUGGACAAUGGGCGCAAGCCUGAUCCAGCAAUGCCGCGUGAGUGAUGAAGGCCUUAGGGUUGUAAAGCUCUUUCGCCCGCGACGAUGAUGACGGUAGCGGGAGAAGAAGCCCCGGCUAACUUCGUGCCAGCAGCCGC